AACUUUGGCCCCCCCGGGCCAAUUUUCCUAGGGAAUUUCCCCCCCCCCCCUUCGGAAAUUUGGCCCCCUCGAAAACAUAGUUUACUUUAUUGCUAUAUAAGCUCGGAAAUCGUGAAGCUUCUUCUAAAACCAAGAUCCUAAAAGUGUUUGUCAGUAUUUAUAGUUAGUUUGCAUAAUUUAUUUGUGUCGAAAUUCUUCAUUGCGGCCAAGAGCUAAAAGUUUGAAGGAAAGCGUAAUAAUAAUAAUGUGUUAGUGCAGUAAUGCCAGACACAUCACGUAUCUGUUGAGGACAACGUUAAUGCAUAAUGCCUUAGCUUUAAGCUAAGGACACGAAACAAUUUUUAGAGAUAGGAAUUUCUAAGAUAUUACAAGACUCAGUUAUUUAGAUCUAUAAAAUUCAGUCACAUAGUAUAAAACUAGUCAGAAUAACAACCGCACUGAAACGAUGACAUCAUGCGUUGGCGAAUAUGUUAAUAUGCACGCGUUUAAUAAAUAACAGGGAGUAAUUUGCAUUAGGGUAAAAGUAGACUUUUAAGUGGAAACGUUUGUUUGACAAACAAAAUCAAAUGAGUGGUUAUUUCGUAAAAAAACCUUUUCCUAUGCAAUUUAUUUACAUAUACACAGUAUAUAUAAUCGCUCAUGAUCAUAUGGUUUGGAUGCAUUACAGAAGCAUUCCGUAAAAACGGAAGUAGACUGUAUGCUUGAUGGCUCACAAAAACAUUCCGCACACAGAAAAGCACAAAGGUUUGAAUAUCUAACAAAAUAUUCCGCAAACACAAAAGCACAAAGGUUUGGAUGACUCACAAAAACAUUCCGCAAACACGCAAAAAAACAAAGGUUACAUCCAGCUACAUAAAACCCGUCAGUGUUGUAAGCAAUUCUCUGGACCUAAUUCUCGUCAGUAUUGGAAUUCAGUGCAGAAUUUUGUUUUGACACAAAAAAAAUUACGCAAAGUAACUAUAAAUGCGGAGAAAAAUUUAUAGAAAUUUGGUUUUAGUAGAAGCUUCACGAUUUCCGAGCUAAAAGAUAAAGUAAACUAUAAUUUUUUAGAGGGGGCCAAAUUUCCGAAGAGGGGGCCAUA